GCGGAUCAUCGAAUUAAAUAACAUACUUCACUACUGGUGUCAGAAACGGUCUAGUGAUUUCAGUUCCUGCGUUGCCACAUUACUCUUGAGGUGGAAUGCUUUUAUUUUCAUUGAUAGACUAAAUUCUCAUUUAAUCUACGACAUUCAUCAUUGUCUGCAAAGACUACUGGGGUGUCAAAUCCUGUUUGCGACCUAUGCCUUCGUCCUUCAACGUCAGUUUUUACAUAAAAGACUGCCUACGCCGUUGCCAGUCCCUUUGGUAUCACAGAAUUUAAUCUCUCCAACUCUAAGUACUGUCUUCUUACAUAAAACUCUAGACAAAUAUUACCUAUUAAAGGAUAAUCUGACCGUUUGAGUACCCUUUAAACCUAUUUAAGAUGAAUAACGCUAGUCUCAUACGUAUUACCGCGACUGCUGGCACGUAUUUUGUCAAGACCGUAUAUACAUAUCGUCAUUAUAUCAAUGUAUUUAAAAUUUUAUUCGAUUAAUCAAUUAAAUUUUACUUAUAUUUCUAUUUUCAAACUUCCCAUUCUUUCAAGUUGCCAGUUCGGCCGUUAGGCCAUUGACUAAUAUUCUUGACUGCUG
rnacentral:rRNA from 1 species